GUCCGCACUCAUUCCUUAUUUGUGCAUAACACUGCUGCCAAAACAUGCGAAGCUAAUAAGCUCCCAAAAAAGUUUAAAGAUUGAGAAAAAGAAAAAGAGAACUAUGAACUCAAAGAACGGUCCUACCCCGCACCAUUCCAAAGAUUUUAAUUAAUAUUUUUAUCAUCUAUUUUUUCUUGUAGAUCCUUCUCUUUAUAAAACCCUUUUGUCACCUCUUCUUUCCUCAUAACAUCACAUCAUAGCCUAAACCAAAGAAAACCCUUAUUUGCGAUCCCCACUUGUUGUUCAUCACCAAGCCAAGCUCCAUGUCCUAGUCACUCCACAGAUUCCCUAUCAUCAUCAAUUCGUUUCAAACUUAGUUCCUUUCAAAGUCUUGUACAUAUAUACACACACACCUAUUAUUCUCUUGGUGUGUUUGUGUGUUACAUAUACGUGUGAGUACAUACUUUGUUGUAAAAGUGGAUCGGAGGUAUGGAAAGGGACCGGUUCCACCGGAAACAUCGGCGGCGGCGGAUGAUAAUUCGUCUUGGAACGAGACUGAUGU
rnacentral:lncRNA from 1 species